ensembl:lncRNA
GGACAGAGGAGCCUGGUGGGCUACAGUCCAUGAAGUUGCAAAGAGUCGGACACUACUAAGCAGCUGCGCACACACAUACACGCCCAUGUAGGUUGAUAUGUGAACUUCCAUGGAGUCUAAUUGUUGCAUGGUAGACCACACCAUGCAUCUGCCAUGGGUCGCUUUGCCAGUGAAGGAACCAGGUCACCUCCAGCCUCCUGCCAGCAUAAACAAUGUUUCACCGAAUACCCUCAGGGGAUCUUCCCAACCCAGGGAUGGAACUUACAUCUCCUCCAUUGGCAGGUGGAUUCUUUACCACUGAGCCACCAGGGAAGCUCCGAAAACACGAUGCAAAACUACAGUUCAGUAAAAGCAGUUCUACAAAAGCCAAAACAGAAGCGAGUAAUCGGAAACCCUUGGGUCAUGUGAGGCCUGCCCUUCCUCUAUCACAGACCAGAAUCUAAUUCCAGGACGCCCUCACAGGCAGAUGCUUUACAGCUGAGCCACUGUAAAAGCCCAGGCGACAAAGAGUGCUGGAGAGCCCUCCCCACUCAGGAUGCCUACAAAAGUCAUAUGUCCCAGUAUUUGUUUCUCACUCCACAUCACUAACACUACUCUGCAUUGCAAGGCUGACAAACUAGUGAGCUCCAGAAAAAGUGGCUUUCUCCUGCAGUCUGGCCCUUUCUCUUAAGCCACAGAAUUAGGAAAGGAAAUGUUUCAGCAAUCCACCUUCCAGCCUGAGCACAAUCCUCAGAGCAUCACUCAAUUUUGUCACCUGUUUGAAGAAAAUGUAUUGUUUCCACAUGUGUGCCUGUCCACGCAGGCUGCAGCCGAGACCUGAGAGUUCUCUGAACAUGGAGAUUCUUUCAAAGGAGACAGAGAAACUAGUUGUGCACAGAUUUGGGGGAGCAUCCACUUUUGCCCACUGAUUGAUGACUUGUUGGGCUUCCCAGAUGGUGCUAGUGGUAAAGAACCUGCCUGCCAACGCAGGAGACAUAAG